UGAACGCUUGUCUCUCAGAUUCAUUUCCACCCUUCUAAAUUCUGGGUUUUGAUGCUGGAACUGGGACUCUGCAAACUAUGUUUCUUCUGUGUCAGCUGACUUUGUGAUAAAUUCCACGAAGAGAAUGCAGUGGAGGGAAAAAAUGAGCUGGGAGUAUGUUGCAUACAUUCUGGAUUCCUGGAUUUUGAAAAUGUGUCUUGUCGUGAAUGCUGCACAUGUCGAUUGGCUCUGAGAGAGAAGACUGAAACAUCACUCCAGUGCUCUCCAGCACAACUGGUAAAGUAACAGCAUUUCCUGAUGUGUUGGAUGUGAGUAGUGAGAAGUGAGGAAUCAACGAUGAGAACAAGGUUGUUCUGACUUCAGCAACUGGAAGGAUGGUGUGAUAUUUACAUAAUGGAAUCCUGCUUGAAUGCCAGAAGUUGCUACUGGGGAGGACUCAUAACUAUUUUACAAAGUUUUCUUACACACAUCUACUACUUUAUUUUUAACAAUUUUGUCUAUUUUAAAAUAUUGUACUGUAUUUUGAACAUAAAUGCAGAAUAAAAAUAGAUAAUGGCACAUUAGAAAACUCA